rnacentral:rRNA from 1 species
CCUACGGGAGGCAGCAGUGAGGAAUAUUGGUCAAUGGCCGCGAGCCUGAACCAGCCAAGUCGCGUGAAGGAUGAAUGCCCUACGGGUUGUAAACUUCUUUUAUAGGGGAAUAAAGGUAUCCACGUGUGGACUUUUGCAUGUACUCUAUGAAUAAGCAUCGGCUAACUCCGUUCCAGCAGCCGCGGUAAUACGGAGGAUCCGAGCGUUAUCCGGAUUUAUUGGGUUUAAAGGGUGCGUAGGUUGUUUGUUAAGUCAGCUGUGAAAGUUUGUGGCUCAACCAUAAAAUUGCAGUUGAAACUGGAAGACUUGAGUGUGUUUGAGGUAGGCGGAAUGCGUGGUGUAGCGGUGAAAUGCAUAGAUAUCACGCAGAACUCCGAUUGCGAAGGCAGCUUACUAAGCCACAACUGACACUGAAGCACGAAAGCGUGGGUAUCAAACAGGAUUAGAUACCCUAGUAGUC